GGAUUAGCGAGGUCCUACUGUAUAAAAAUUGGAACGAUAGGAGAAGAUUAAGAAGACUCCUGCGCAAGGGUGACACUCAAAAUCGUGAAACGUUCCACAUUAAU